UACGUAGGGGGCAAGCGUUGUCCGGAUUUAUUGGGCGUAAAGAGCGUGUAGGCGGCCAGACAGGUCCGCUGUGAAAACUCGAGGCUCAACCUCGAGAUGUCGGUGGAAACCGUCUGGCUAGAGUCCGGAAGAGGAGAGUGGAAUUCCCGGUGUAGCGGUGAAAUGCGCAGAUAUCGGGAAGAACACCCGUGGCGAAGGCGGCUCCCUGGGACGGUACUGACGCUGAGACGCGAAAGCGUGGGGAGCGAACAGG
rnacentral:rRNA from 1 species